rnacentral:rRNA from 1 species
ACUCCACGAAGUUGGAUUCGCUAAUAAUCGCGCAUCAGCCAUGGCGCGGUGAAUACGUUCCCGGGCCUUGUACACACCGCCCGUCAAGCCAUGGGAGCCGGGGGCGCCUGAAGUCCGGGACCGCGAGGACCGGCCUAAGGCGAAACUGGUGACUGGGGCUAAGUCGUAACAAGGUAUC